GGCGGGCGAACCGCGGACGCGACCCAGACCCUGGCCCCGACGCCCCCGGUCGGGGUCGGGGUCUCGGGCUUCCGACGGGAGCAGCAGGAUCUGGACGAGGAGGCACAGGGUGGGCGGCCGUGGCUGCUCCGCCGGCAGUAUCCCCGGGUAAACAACCUCCUGGGAGGACUGGACCUCCGCCCUCCCUCCAGAAGCCUCGGGAGGAGAGCAGCUCCAGAAAUCUAUUUAGUUUCAAGACUGAGGCACAGAGAGGCUAGGCAACUUGCCCCAGGUCACACAGCACACACGGCAAAGCCAGGACUCAAACCCAAGUUGGCAGGCACCAGAGCCCAAGCUUUCUGCAUUGUGCAUUCAUUCAGACCAACAGUCACGCUCCUGUGGCCGUGGCUCAGCAUGCCUCCAAGGAUGGCCGCGCCGAGAUCCUAGCACGCGGCCCUCACGAGCAGAUACAUCACCCCCUUCGUGGACUGGAUGCGAGCAUCAGAGGGGCCUGUCACGAGCGGUGGCUCAAGGGCUGAAGUGACUGGGCUGGGCAGGCGUCCCUGAGCUUGGGCACCAGGGAACCUCACACGCUGACUGAAGUCACUUACGGAGCCAGUGACGGAUCCAGACCCAGACUCGUAAAUGCCACUUCCUGGAUUGGGGGCUCCUGCAAACACACCGCAGUCCAAUGUCUGCUCACAUCUGUACAGAUUACAAAAGAAACCUAUUGGGGCACCUGCGUGGUUCAGUUGGUUAAGCAUCUGACUUCAGGUCAGGUCAUCAUCUCACGGUUCA